GACGAACGCUGGCGGCGUGCUUAACACAUGCAAGUCGAACGGAAAGGCCCUGCUUGCAGGGUGCUCGCGUGGGCAACGGGUGAGUAACACGUGGGUGAUCUGCCUCUCUCUUUGGGAUAAGUCUGGGCAACUGGGCCUAACACAGGACAGGACAUUGCUGUAGGCGGUGUGGUGGAAAGAUAAGUAUCGGUAUGGUGUGAGCUAGGGGCCGGUCAGCGUGUCGGUGGGGUAAUGGCCUACCAAGGCGUUGACGGGUGGCCGGCCUGAGAGGGUGGGCGGCAAGAUUCAGACUGAGAUGCGAGGCAGACUCCGGCGAGAGGCAGCAGUGGGGGAUAUUGCGCAGUAGGAGCGAGCCGGAUGCGACGACGCCGCGUGGAGGAUGACAGCCUGCGAGUUGUAAACACCUAUCGGCCAUGACGAAACGCUUGUGGUGACGGUAGUGGUAGAAGAAGCACCGGCUAACUACGUG
rnacentral:rRNA from 1 species